CGGCAGCAGAAGAGAGAGAGCACAGCCCCUCUUUGAACAAAACGCAGACUGAAAUGUCAGUGCAGCAGCGGUGCUCUCUCUCUUCUUCUCUCG
rnacentral:pre_miRNA from 1 species